CUUGUAAUUGUAACACUUCUCUGCUAAAUUUGGGAACUAAAAGCAAAAGAAACAAAUUUUUUAGUUUUUCAUUCAAAAUGAUCCAAAGCUAAGUAAUUUGACUUUCUAUUCACUAUAGAGGAAAGUGCCAUUAAGGUCUAGAGUUCACCUCAACCAUAACUUCUGUGACAGCUGCAAGUUUGUUUCUAAGAUUCCACCUCAAGUAAAUACUUGCUCUUUGUAUGAAUUUUCUGUAGAGGUGAUGGAGUCAAAAUGACUGCUUUGCUGUUGGUGUAUGUACCUUGGAGCUGGAUUUUUCUAUGAAGUCUGUAGAAGCUUGUUACCACGUUAAAUGCCCAGCUUUCAUGAAAUCCACAGCUGAAGGGUUUGUUGUCCUUCUAGUCGUGUAUUUUCAGCCCACCCAGCACUUUUCUGAGGUACUGGUACUUGCAUCUUUUGCUUCAGCAUCCUAGAAAUUCAAGGAUCUUCUUGGCUUCUACAUUAUGGGAGAUAUUGCACUCAGAUAAACUGCAACUCUAAAGAAUAAUCAGCUGCUUGCAAGAAUAUUUCAGCUGACAUCCCUAUGAUUAAAACAAAGCUAAACCUAGUAGUUGUGGUUUUGGUUAUGAAGCUGAUUCAAAUGUGAAAGGUGCGACAAGGAUGCUUCUCUCCACUGAAGGAUAUUGAAGUGCCUGGAGACUGGCCCCCUCCCUGCUUCCCAGAAGGUGCUGCCAUUUGUUUCCCGCUCCACUGGCCAAGCCUUGGCUGAGCAGAGCCCUGGGCAGCCACUGGACCCAGCGGGAGCAGCGGCAGCGCUCCACAUCCUGCUGGCAUGCUCCGAGCAGGGCGGCUUUGCGCAACGCUGCAACUUCUUGUCUGGGGCAAAAGGGACACAAGAGGACUCUCAUUCCUCGUUUAACUACUGUGGGGCAUAUGUCAUGGGUAGCACAUCCCAAAGAGAUGCUUUCAGCAGCCAAAGAGAGCUGUUAUGUCAUUGUCAGCGGGGGCUGGGCUUGGUGCGCCUCCCUCGGGAUGUCACCUCUCCAGCUGGGAAGUCCUGGCAUGGCAGGUAGCAGCCAAGCUGCUCCACUUUUGGUGCCUGACCACAGACCUCCCAGACUGUGGGCUUCCUGGCCAGUUUGGCCAUAGAGCAGAACCAGAGAUAUCGUCAUUUAUUUUUUUAGCUCAUUACCAACUUCAUUGCACAAGUGUCAUUCCGCUAUGGCUGAUGUAAUGGCAAGUCAAGUCCUUGGGCUAAUGGACUGAACUGUGCCUUGGCUGUAAACUGCAGACUUCCAGAGGAAGCAUCAAAGCUCUCAUUUUGUAUUUGUCCCUAGGAAAGCAAAUGAAAAUAUAUCGUUGUUCUCAAGAUUGCUGAAAGAAGCAAGUCCUUUUUUUAAAAUUUUAUUUCUGCAGCCAUGAAUAGUAAAUUUCCUCCAUUCAUGACUGGUUUAUAAAAGAGUUUGGGAACUAACCAGAUCUGAAGAACUUUCUCUCUCACCAAGUAUUGCAGUAGGGGAAUUGUUUGUAUUUUUUAUUACUUUCUCAAUAUUUUUGUUAUCCUCUUUUCCAAGACACUAUUAGAUUUUCCAGUCUUCUGGACAUCAAAGAUUUUGGAGAGGAGAUUGUAUAAACUGGAUAGGUAACAGCUGUUACCAGAUGGAUUUACUGGGGGAAAGGGGAGAGGGCUAGUUUGUUUUAUGUGUUUCCUCCCACUGCUGGCCCUUUUCACUGUGGCACACUGUUGCUGUCCUGUGACAGGGAGUGUCCUUGCACAGAGGGAGCCCUUGUCCACAGGAUUGCACCGAACUUUGGGUUUCACUCUUGGUUAUAAGUGUCUUUUCCAAGUGCCUUCUUCAGAGCUUUUUUAGCUGGUUGUCCAGUAGUUUAUUGGAGAGAAAUAAAAUGAGAGAGCAGCUCUAGUAUUGUUAGAUAAUAGCACUGAUUGACAGAAUAUCAUUUCUAACUUGAAAUUUCAAGUCACAAAGUGUAGUUUGCUUCACUUCUGGAUAUCUCAGGACACUUACAGUUGGAUUUAUUUUUCUAAAAUAAAUAAUUGAAUUCCUCAAGAAAGGUCACAGUACCAAAGGGGAGUUUCAGCUGUAUCAUCUCUGUUGUGCCCUUCUAUCUAACAUGGGAAUGAACAUUUGCAUGAAUCCUCUUUAUUUUUUCAUCUUGUGUGAGAUUCCUUGUGCAAGGAAUUCCUCUUUUAGAUUGCUGACUGUUUAAGAAAGGUCAUAGAGGGGAGAUGGUGAUUUGUAAUAUUGCAAAGCACUAAGUGGUAAAAGAGACUGUGUGCAUGUAUAACAUGAUGUUUGCAUAUUGCUAUACCAACAAUAUCUGAUCCCAUUCAGAUAACAGUAAAGCAGCCUACAGCUUAGACCAGGUUCAAAGAAACUCACACUGCCUGCUCUUUUCUUUCUUAUUUUAGGUUUGAUCUACUUGCUUUCACAUUUGCAUGUUGUGUUUCUGAGCACCUACCCUCACGUUUUUCAAGCUUCAGCAAGGGAGAGCACUUUCAAUAUAUAUCAUCUGCAAAAGUGUCCCAUGUCCUGUGAAUAUGCUGACAUUCAAUCUGAUCUAAAAAUUUGAGAGGACUGGCAUCUUCUCAAUCUAGCCUCUUUCUUCCUGGGGUAGCCUAGAUUAAUACUUUGAUCCUUUCCUUCUCUGAGCAAUUUCAGAAUCCGUUGCCAUUGCAGCAGAGGACACUCUGGCUUCACUCAAUCUGUGAAGAUCCUUGCACCUUUGCAGAAAUGCUCAGAUUCUCACAGAUUUUAACUCUUCUCUGCAGCUGGCCUGGGGGAGUUAGCUGGGGGAAUAUCACUGGAGCAGAUAGUCCAUGUCAAUGGCUGCUGGACCACUGUCAGGAGAAUGGAUCCUGUCUGGAGAGGGACAGAACAGAAUCUGUAUCCAGACAAAUCAUCUCUAAUGUGAUUUUAGGCUUUAGGCAUUAAUUAAUUUCAAACUGUUUUCCUGUAUCUCUUUGAGUACUGCUCCAUAUAGUAAAAGCAAAUGACCAAGAAAAGAGAGGGAGUUAAUCUAAAAGAGAAACUGAGCUUCUCUUCAACACUCUUAGUAUUUUUUUUUUGCAUAAUUAGUGGAGAAAUUGGAACAGCUCUGCCAGUUUCAAGACAAGGUUUCAAGUUCAUCUUUAGUGAACAUUGGGAUGCCAAUAAGGAUCAAACUACAAAGCCAACAACACAAAUGUGGAGGAGGCUCAAGACUAGCUCGGUGAUUUGCUGCAUGAACAGGAAGCAAGGUCCUCAAUUUUUCUUUGAAGAAAACAAGUUUUCUGUGUGCAGUUCAUACAAAUAGGGAGAGGAAGAGGUGUCUGACUAAUAGUGAGAGGUAUGGUGAAAUCUGGGUUGUAGUCCCUGUUCUACAGACAGCCCUUUCCAUAUGCCAAGGCAGGAACCAUGCAGGUGAAUGAAUGUUACCCUGUUAUCCCUGGGUCCCUGGGCUGGGUGCAAGCACAUAUGGAAUUAAUGUAAUGGAAUUACAUUUAAUGUUUGUACAGUGGCAAAAACUGGUGUCAAUCACAGCCUUUUAAAGGUGUGUUAAACAGGACAGUCUCUCUCAUCCAGAAGAGGGGAUUUUCCUGGCAAGUCUAAGAACCAGCAGGAGCUUGUAUAAGUGGUCAUAACAAAUGGUUGCCAAGCUAUGAAAGCAACAGGUAAUUCAGGUGUGGUAUCUCAUAGCCUGUUGUUAUCUUUAAAGUGAGAUUUGUGAGCCUGUGUGUGGACUUGUGCGGGUAGUGUAUGUCAGGUUAAAGCUUUAUUUCCGUAAAUCACAGAAUCACAGAAUGAUUUCUGCUGGAAGGGACCUUAAAUAUCUUGUUCCAAUCCCCUGCCAUGUGCAGGACACCUUCCACUAGACCAGGUUUCCUAAAGCCCCUUGCAGGGAUGAGGCACAAAGUAGUUUUUUUUUUUUGCUUCACUCCACAAGUUGUUUGCACAGGAUCUGAAGGGCUGUUUUCAGUGCACUAUGGAAAGACACUGCUGUUGUUAUUUUUACUACUUCCUUAUCAUGUAUUUCAGGCUCUGCAGUGACAGUGAUGAUUACCUAAGAAAUAAGAAAUCAUUAGCUUGACUAAGUAUUUUCCACAAAGGAGCAUUUAUUUAUGGUGACACAGAAAUAUCAUAGAUCAUUGCAAUGCUCUGAAGCAGCACAGAAACUGUGAAUUUCAAUGGAUGUAGCCAAGAGGAGAUUAAAGGUCUUUGGCUCAAGAGCUUUCACUAUGAAGACAUAACAAUACUUUUCUUUUCAUGUAGUUGCAUCUUCAUAAAAAUCUGUUAAACUGCAGCUUGCAGAGGAAGUGUAAAGCACAAGGCAAAUUAAAGUACAAUAACCCUGAAAGGACAAAGUGAUCCAAGCAGUAAUGUAGUACUUACAGGGAAAAGAAUUGAGAUUACUGAUGGCUCAGUGCACAGAAGCAGCAUUUAUUAUGAUGGAAAAGUGUACUCUGUGAAUUAAUUCUGUCAGUUCUGUGCUGGCCUGUUUCUCAUUUUACAUGGCAAAUACUUUGAUCCACGUUAUAAUGUAGGUACUUUUACAACCCUGGGAAAUUUGCUGCCCCAAUCUACAGAUGAAAUAAUUUAAUCAUAAGUAUUUCACCAGACAUUUUUCAAACCAAUUUAAUUAGGUUUCAUUGUUUACAGACUUUGAGUAUAGCAUCCAGAGAUUAUUUAGGAGCACAACCUACUUGUCAACUUGAAAGAAAAUGAAAAAUUGGUUAGCUGUUAUUAUUUAAAACUCCAAAGUGUUCAAGUAUCUGGGUUGUUUUUUUUUUUUUUUUCCUUUGAAAGAAUUGGUUUUUUAUGAAUUUCUCUCUGUAAUCUUGCCAUUCCUGUGCCUGUGAAUACAUAUAUUCUCAUGUAGUUUAGGAAGGAAUUAUGGCAUUACAGUGAUUUUGGAUGGAUUUUGAGCUCUGCUAUAUUCUUAUAACAUUUCAGAAUUUCCUGGGGCCUCAGAAGGGUUGUUCCAGAUUUAUGGUUGCAUAACACCAGCAGAAUUCUAUCCCUUUAUAUUUGCAUUCAGAGCUAAUGCAUUAGUCAUCCAGGUCCCUAAACAGGUUAAUUAUCCAGUCCAGUUUUUCAGUACUGUUUUAACUGUUGUAUUUAUAACUUUUAUGAAUUUCAUAUAACAUUAGAUGACAGUAAAUAGGUUUAAAGAUAAGCUGAACUUCUAAAGAUGGAAACUGCUGAUAUUUUUUUACUAAUUUCUAGAUCUCUUGUAUUACCAGUACUCUUUGGGAAAGUUCUGAUUUACAAAAUAUGAUCUCAUGGGAUGUUUUAUCUUAUUGGCUUCUUGCCAUGUUGCCAGAAUGCAGUGUAUUCAGACAGAGGCACCCAAAGUGCAUGCCUCAGCAUGCAGAGAAAGAGUGCAAAGCUGGCUUUCAUUUUCUAGAAACAGAUCCCUGUAACAGUGUUCCUCCUGCUGAAUGGCUUUUUAUUGUUGAUUUUAUGCUUUUGAUUGAGCUAUGUGGGUUUAUGUUUUUGAGACAUGUACCAUUUAUUCACAGGAAAAGUCCAAGAUACAGAAGUUUUCUUACAGUGGACUCAAUGCUUUUGAAACCUUUACUGGAAACCACCAUUCUCUGCCUGCUCUCAAACACAGCACUUAUCUAUAGCUCUGCCUGCACAGCUCAGGAAACAUUCCUUACAAAACAUGGCUUUCCACCCUUUCUAAGAAGGUGCUGCUCUAGAAUAGAAAAGAUAACUGGCUUGGUAUUAUGCUGAGGUUUUAAAAUUGCCAAAAAAUCUAUUUAAGAAAGUUUACCUUAAGAAAUCUUGAAAAUACUAACUUAGGAAAUAACACCUUCUCAGUAAGCCCUAUGAAGAAUUUUUGGUUUUCAAGCAUCUGUGUUGUUCAGUUGAACUGUUCAUUCCCCUCCCAUUAGUAAUUUAAUAUCUGUGUUUUUCAUAGAGCAGCUCAGCAGUUUGCCAAAUGUUAUUAGCAGAAGGGCAAAGCAAAAGAAGAUUCUGAUCAGAAAUCAGAACCACUUCAGUAAAAGCCUGGCUCAAAUAUGCACUGAAUGGAGGUGAAGUUGGCAGUUUCACUUGUGGGCAGUUCAUGUGAGAUCAUUUAAAAUGAUCUGGGAAAAGGUCUGAAGAUCAGCUCCUCAGUGAUCUCUGCUUGUAUCUUGUGCAAUAAUGUAUUUUUCUCCUCGACUUCUUUUCAUCUUUAUUAAUCUAGCUGUAUCUAUAAAAUUAAUAAUUAGAAAUAGAUUAAUACAGAUCCAAAAAUUUCUUUUUUCCCACCCCCCUGUCCUUUAUAUUUUUGUUCUCUUUCUCUCCCAUAGCUUACUUGAUUAGUAUUUUAGCUUUGUUGAAGGAACAUAAAUACUGCUGCACCUACUUGGGUAAUUUUUCAAACCAACAACAUUUGAAUGACUAUAAAUUAAAAGCCUGCUUUUACUGAACCUCUGGUGAUACACACUCUUCUUAUUUGCAUUUAGGUCCCUGUGAUAAUAUUCUGGUAAGAUCUGAGAUAGAAUUGUCUUUGCCAAGCCAGGUUUCUGAAACUGACAGUGGAACACUCAACACAGCUUGGGUGAUAAGGUAGCACUCAGUGAAGUAGCAAGCAGCAUUUAACAGCUUUGCAGAAAGGAUUACUUCCAUGAAAGUUUUCAACCCAGAUAGAACCAGGGAAUUUAGAAAUUGUGUAGAAAGUCAUGCCCUCACAAGAUUUUGUUACUGUCUAGGUCAAGAGUUAGAUGAGGUUUAGACAAGGUUCAUGUCCUGAUGCUUUGCCAUCCAUACUGAAAAACUUGAUAUGAAUUUGAGCAUCUGAUUAUGCAGCUGGUACCCAAUUAAUUUGUUGUUAGCCUUUUUAAGUACUGCAUUUUAGAAGUCUCAUAUUUUUCAGCUUGAAUGGUGUUUCUCUGGCAGCACUUUUUAUGGGAUUUUGGAGCUGUGACCAACAAAUAGUUUUGUUCUUGUUUCUGUAAUAUUUUCUGCAAUUUCUGCCAAGGCAUUGACAUAUGUGAAGAACUUUGCAAUUUUUUUUUAACUCUGUGGUUAUUUCAAUUUUGUAGGAUUUAUUCAAUACCCAUCAAGUACUGAGAUAAAGUGAUAUUCCCUGGAAGAAGAACAGUGUAGUCAAGUGCAUUGGAAGAUGAAAAGAUGAUACACAGAAAUACCCCUGAGAAUUGUAGUAAUGUCAGUGUCAGAGUUCUCUCACAAGCUAGCACAGGAGGCGGGUUGCUUUGUGGAACAGGUUCAAUGCUCAGUCUUACUUCAGGAGUGAUUCCCCUGAGCAUAGCUGACUCCACUUUGCCUCUCUCAAUUAGAGGACAGUGAUGGGGAUGUUAUGCAUGCUAGACCACACCAGAAAAGCACUCUCUGCACCCACAUGAAGUUUAGCAGAACGAGGCUGAAUAUGGCAACUUGUGUCUAUCCCUCUCACUUUCUUUUAUAAAACCAUUUGAUAAAAACAACUCAGGUCCCCUCAGUGUUGAUAGUCAUGGUUAACCUCCUAACCAGCUGGCCUUCAAUGAUAAUUUCCUGUUUAGAGUCUAAUUCCUGUUCAGUACUCAGGCAAUGUAUGUUUCAUGAACUGACCUGCUGUCUGAGGAAGCUUCAGCAAUUUUUUCUUCCAAAAAGAUAUUUAGCCUUACUUCCCCAGCUGGACAAAGCCAGUGAUGAAAAAUCACUCUUAUCACUUUUCUGAAAUAUCAAAGUUGUCUCUCCUCAUGGCAGAGAAUUCCAAACUGUCCUGGAGACAGCAGGUCAUGUGAAUAUCCUUGCUGUAUUCCUAAUUGUUUGCUCUGGCAGUUCCCAGUGAAGCAGCUGGUUGUCUUUGGAAAGUUAUGCUUGUUGUUUUGGGUUUGAACAUCAUGUGUCUUUAAUUUUCAGCACUAGCCACAGGGAUAAGUAUCACAAAUAUCUGCUUGAAGGCCUUUUGCCCUUGGGAACCCAAUAUAUACUUGGCAGCCUCUCUGACAGUGGGACUGAGAGGAGAAUCAAAGUUGAUUCAUUGCCUUAUACUCCCACAGGGAAAAGAAAGAAUAAAAAUGGCAAUUGCUGCUUCAUUCAGUUGCCUGAGGCAAGUCUUUCCUGUUUUGUAGAGAGUAAACUAAUGUAAUUUCUAAAAAAUCUUCCUUCCCUCUGUAUGAAAAAAUUAUUCCAUCCAGUAUCAUAGAGCUAAUUCUGAGGCUUGGCUUCCUCACAUCCCACUGUGCCCCCAGGUGGACUUCAGAAUUCCACGAACCUGCACAUAACCAGAAAUGGACUUUCACAUCUUCCAUUCAGUGCCUACCUCCAGCAGAAUCUACUGCCAUGUUCUUCAGCUCAGCAGACAGUAAUCUCUAAUGAAGAUGGGUUUGUACAAUGCUGGAAAUGGUGCUACACAGUGAAAAGGGGUUGAAGCCUGCAGGUGGAGAGAAGGUGGAUUGCCCUUUAUUUGUUGUGCCCAAGCUGUUCACAGACUCUGAUUUCCUACUGCAUUAUCAUGACCAGCCUAAACGAGCAUCUUGCUAUGACUUCCAGUGGAGAUAGGCAUUGCUCUGGCUGCAGAUGUAACUUCCCAAAUGUUCCCCACUUUCUGUGCCACACUGAAGUGGCACAGUCAUCAGUGUUGGUAACAUCAUGAUACAAAGGGGCAGCCUGAGCUCCAAUGUAUGCAUUAGCUAAAGAUUACACAGAGUGCCAGUUGAGCUCUGAUUCCUUUAGAAAUGUGGCUCGGCAGAGCUCCAAGCUCACACCAAGUGAUGCCAAGACAUUUGCUCAUGUCUCCAUGGCCCCUUAUCUCAAGUGGUGAAACUGCCAGAAAUCAUUUUCCCUAAUAGAAAAACAACAUGCAUUUUGCAUGUUGCUCUUUUUUAUGUAAAACUGAUUAGUUUAUGAUUUUGAUUUGAAAAUAGAAUUCAACUCUUGUAUUUUUGAUCUGAAAAAAUCAUUUUUCUUUAGGACAGCUUUUUCAUUUUUCUAGGAAACUCAUUCCUUUAAUUUUAUAAUCAUCUCAACUCAGCACAAAAAUCUUAUGGAAGAUGGUGGCAAUUAUCAACUAUGCAAGUCAAGCAUUUUAUUUUCCAGUCUCCAAGUUUUGCUGUUAGUCCUAAAAUUCAGUGCUAUUCUAAGGAAUAUGUUUUUGAGUUGAUGAGGGAUUUGUGAUACUACUUAAAAACAAAAGAGAAUUUUAGCUGGGGAAGAAACUAUCAAAGAUGAAUGGAUGUAUUAGCUUACCAUGGAUCUGAACUUUGUCUUGCAAGACACUGCACAGGCUUUCAGUGAUACAGAUCCCAUUGGAAUCAGCUAUUGUCUAACAGCUGAAAAUAACAGGGCUCAAAAUGGUUCCAAUUAUUCCUGAUUGAAAGGUGAGUUGGUAUGGCUUUUUUGAUGCUCUAUUUGAAAUAUGCUUGUAUAUUGCUUAAUUAUAUUAAUAUAUGUAUUUAAUCACAGAGAACACAGAGAGUAUGAACUUGAUCUGUAAGCAAGACCCAGUCUUUACACUUGCAGGAAUGUAUGCCUGGACCUGAUUGUACAAUUAGCAUUGGUUUUGCUUUGUAACAAUUUCCUUAGGUUUUAAGCACUUCAGUUUUCAUUAAAGCAUGAUUCCUUUUGCA